rnacentral:rRNA from 1 species
UACGGAGGUGCGAGCGUUGUCCGGAAUCACUGGGCGUAAAGGGCGCGUAGGCGGCUCAUGAAGGCUGUGGUGAAAGUCCGGGGCUCAACCUCGGAUCGGCCGUGGCGACUCGUGGGCUGGAGCACUGUAGAGGCGGGUGGAAUUCCGGGUGUAGCGGUGGAAUGCGUAGAGAUCCGGAAGAACACCAGUGGCGAAGGCGGCCCGCUGGGCAGUGGCUGACGCUGAAGCGCGACAGCGUGGGGAGCAAACAGG